GCAAGAAAGUUUCGGGAGCUUCAGAUCUAGCAAUGGGGACUAAGAGAGGGGGAGAGAGAGAGAGACCAAACCACUUCAAUUUGUCAUGAGGGAGCUUUGAAAGCUCCAGAUCUAAUGAUGGUGAUCGAGGGAGAGAGAGAGACUCACCUGGCUGGGGACCUUGUCAUCGUCGUCGUCAUUGACUCGACAGGGAUGGAUGGAUUCGGGGACUAGGGCUUUGAAGAGAACCAAGCGAGGGGAUUAGGGCUUCGAAUGUGGGAAAGCCUUUAUAUCCUGAACCGACCGGUUGAACUGUGCCGGUAACUAACUGGUCCGGUUUGGCACCUCUCAAAUCGGAUGGUUCGGCACCUCUCAAAUCGGCUGGUUCGGCAUGAUUCAGCUAACCUUGAUUGUAAGUUAGGGGCGAAAUUACCCUUGUCCCCAUUUUAAAAAGUUCCUUUCUUCCCUUUAUUCGUUAUUUCUUAGCUCUCCUUUCUGGUGCUAGGGUUCUUCACCGAGCUCUCCAUGGUCCCCCCCCCCCUCCUUGAACCAUUGGGAGUCCUACCAACUGGCAAUCUCUAGGAUGCGUGCCGGUCCUACAAUCUCCUACUCUCCUCUUGGAGUGGAUCACCUUUGCCACUUCCUUGAUCUAGAGACACUAUCGCAAUAGGGAAGACAAGGGAACCAACAUAUUCGGCUGGGAGGCUUUGAAGUUCCUUUUCACUGAGAGUCAGAAGAGGGUUGGCAUUUACUGCCUUGACUAGUUAACUAUGUAUGUAUGUAUUUAAUGAUUGCUUAUAUAGAUAAUUUAUAUAUUAGGAUGGGGCUGUUAGGUCGGUUGGGUCAGGGAGUUUCCUAAUCCAUCAUGGUCUAUAUAUCAAUUAGGGUUGGGUUAGAUAUUGGAAGAUCCAAGUCUGGCCUUAAAUAAAAGUGGCAUAUAGAUUUAUAACCAAGCAGACCAUAUUUUCAUUAAGGGGGCCGGAGGGGCUGAAUCAAGUCUUAACCGGUUUGGUUUAACAUCAGGUCUCAGGCAGGCCCAUUACAUCUGCAUCUCUCAUUAUUCCUAAAUUGUCUACUUCAGGAUGUUGGGAUAUCCAUAUGGAAUUGAAAUCUCCAUUCUGAAAUCUCAUUUGUUAAUUCCAAUUGGCUACCCCUUCUUAGAAUGGAUGCUUUACUAUUAGCUGUAAGGGGGGCGGACAUAUGACUUUAUGAUCUUCAGCAAUACAUUCAUAAGCACAUAUGUACAUGUACGCAUGCUUGGGUACAUGCAAUAUGUACAGAUAAUAGCAUCAGGCAUGGUAAAUGCACUUAAUAGGAAGCUAUCUUUAAUGGAUAGCUGUCAUUCCCUCUGAUUAAAGAUUUUCAUUUUCUGUUUAAGUAAUAAAUGCUAUUCCACUUGGUGCACAUGCUGAGAGAGAGAGACAGGGAAAGAGAGAAUUUACUGGUGUAUAUUUUCAAGGCAAUGGUAGGACCAAAGUGGAAUCUUGCAUGGGAGGUUGCAUU
rnacentral:lncRNA from 1 species